rnacentral:snoRNA from 1 species
AAACUGUGGUGUGGGAAAAAUCUCAGCAAGUCCGUGUAUCUCUCCUACGCAUCAUACAUGUUCUCAUCAUCAAACUGCACAAAAGAAGAAAUGUCAUUACGCAU